GCUAGGAAGAGGAAGAAAGAGAGGGCCUAAGAGCAAUGGGGAUGAGAACAUAGAGGAAAGCCUAAGUUAUCGGUUCUUCACAUCUUGUGUUGAGGUGGAAAUCCCGUUUGGUAUUUCCGAUGCCUCUCAUUCCUAUCGUUCUUAAGCGCUCCUUCCUCUUCCUUUUUGUU
rnacentral:pre_miRNA from 1 species